UUUCCAAGCUACAGACCGAAUACCCAAUUGUUAAGGUUUCGGCGCAGCAACCUUUAUCCCCUAGGGCCAUUUAAUCAUCAGUUCACCCUUAAAAUUGGUGAGUGACGUAGAAGCCUUCUUUGUUUCCAUCAAAAUCGACACUUAAAAGCCAUUUCCACUUGCAUCUCUAACCCCGACUUUGACGGAGAAGACGAGAUCUCAUCGAUGCAUCCGCAAAGGUACCGAGUACAGGACUGUGCUGGCGCUUGGCGUGAGGCGUACGGAGGGGCGCGUGGUGGUCGUAUGGUGCUGAAGGCGCAUGGAGACUGAACGUGGCUGCGGCGCAAAGGGGAACAAAACCCUAGGUUUUCUAUUCCUGAAAUGUUUCGGGCCUUUUGGGCCGAUAUAACUUUGGGUCUGGGUUUAUCUGUAAAUGGGCUUGUUAUUUGGGUCUUGGGUCAUGUAAUUGGGCCAGGACAUUUAAUGGACUGUUAAUAUUUUUUUGUUUAUUAUUUUGUAUUUUGGGUUCUUCUUCGGGCCCGGGCAAAUUGGCCUAUUUACAAUAUAAAUAGCCCACUAUUCACUCAAA